UAUUGGUACAUUUUAGGGAUGCAGUACAGUUACAUUCAUUGUUGGGAUCAUGUACCCCUACAUGGCAAGUCUCAUCUAUCUGUUUUUAAAAUUUUCAUUAGCCCAUGUUUGCAAAACAUAACUAUUACAGUCAUCACGGGGAGUUGGUACACGUGCAUGACACAUAUUAAAUCUUUUUACUUCCCUUUUUUGCUCUCCUCUCUCCCUCUCCCUCCAUCUCUUGGUGCCCUUCCCAUUUGCAAAGCUAAACCUACUGUUAACAUAACAUCUGGCCCUGCCCUGGCUGCUGCUUCUGUUAUAGGGGAAAUAAUAUAACUCCCAACCUUCUAGAUGUCAGAUACACCAAGUUUGUGGUUUCCAAAUUGCAGAAUGACUGCUAAGGAACAACGGGGGUUAAAAGUAGGAAAGUUUUACUGAGAGGGGGAGAUUUUAGCUUCUGAGAGACAGGAGGGGGCCUGAGUGAGUUGCUGUGGACCCCACUUCACAGGGGAAGUUUUAUAGAGCAAAUUCAUGAGGUGGGUACAACCUGGGACAAAACUGUGAUCAGCCAAUACGAUUAUAAGUAUAGUCGCUUCCAGUGGGGAAGCAGGUCACAUAGCAAGUGUAUAUGGAAAGAGUAAAGAACUUUUUUAGGAAGGGAUGAAUCUGGAGGUCUUAGUCACCCACCUGGGUGACUGAUGUCUGCCUAGACCACUUAUCUCUUGGGGGAGUAGUAUGCAGACCUGGUCAUUUUGUCUUUAUUUUGAGGCCUGGCCUCCAACAGAUGUGUCUUCAGCCACAGUUGUAAAGUGUUUUCAUCUUUUGUAUCAGCCCUGUCUGACUGCCUAUAAUACUUCUACCUUAGACACUAACUAUAAUACUUCUGAUGGGGACCAAACACCAUGACAUAGCUCAUGCAGCCUGUCAAUGUCCUCCUCUGUGACCAUCCACCCUUGGAAGCCAUCUCACACUUCUGUGGUUUACAGGUAGACAUACUUGAGAGCCUGUGGUUGCAGUGAAGGUUCCUGGAGUGCAGAGCGGGGGUGGGUGUGGGAUGAUCAGGGAAACCAGAGGGGGAACCAGGGAAGUCAGCAUGGCCAGAAGAUAAUGGUUGAGCUGGGUUUUGAAGGAAGACCAGGAGUCUGCAGGGCAGGGGGAGAAACAGGGCAUGUUCAGUCGCCGUAGGUCAUUGGAGCCAUCAGGGAGCAGGCAGGUCAGAGGUGAAGAAGGCCUGUGACCGGGCUGAGUUGGCAUUUUCUCCGGGUACCAUGGGAGCUAUGGUGCAAGAGCAUCUUUGAGAAGCCGGGGGAGGAAGGGGGUCCUGAAGGGCCCGGGAAUGCUCAGCCUGUCUGGGGAGGGCACCUCCGCACCUAACCCAGGAGUCUCAGGGGUGGCUCAGGCUGCCAUUGGUGGAAUAGGACACCUUGGCUGCUGGAUGCUUCUAGAAUGGAGGAGGCCAGAUAGCUUUGGAGCCCAGAUCUCUGUAACCUCCUCCCAUACCCCUGUCUUUUCCUCUUUUCUUCUCUGAAGAACAGAGAGAGAGGCUCUCUUUCUGAAUUUCCCUUAUAUGCCUUGAGCCUGGAUCUUCCAUAAAUACUUCACUUCUAAAUUUUACAGUUCCUGGUUACUUCCUGUCUUUCCUGUUAUGCCCGUAUGUGUGUGUGUGUGUGUGUGUGUGUGUGUGUGUGUGUAAAAUAAAUCAGCAUGCUUUUUCUCCUGUUAAUCUAUUGUCCAUGUAUGUCACAGCUUCAAUGAUCAAACCUUUAAAGGACAGGGAGAAAGUUUAACUCUCUUCUAAAGAGUGAAAGGAGCUCAGCUUGAGCUUAAGGUAAGUGAGACUUCGUCUUGUCAUCUCAUCUACAAGAUGCUGAUGAAUUACUGAGGUCCAGGAUGCUGGGAGAGUGGACUGGGACUUGCAUGGAAAGCCCUUCUAUUGCUCCAGGCACUGAAGGAAACCCACUCCAGAAGAAGCAACACAGGAAAUGCAGGAACCCUGGGCCCUGCUGCCUUCCGUGUUCUGAGCCUACAACCUUGGGGGAGGCCUUGUGUGUGUGACGUUGCUUCCAACUGUGCUCCUGCCCUCCUUGCUGUCCAGCUCCCCUCUUCCAGUGUUACAGGGAGAAGUGUUGGCGGAGGUCACAAAGGUACCACCAUCCCGUACUUUUCUCUAUCAGACCACUUCCUGUGCUUCUCAUCAGCACCCACAGCUGGGUGCGCACCCUGAUAUCUCCACUGACCUGUGAGUUGCUCAAAUGGCCCAAGCCUCACUUCUUUAAUUGUAAAAUGGUCACGAAUGCUUUGUGAACCGCACAGGUUUAGUAUAAAGAUGAUAUAAAAACCAACGUGUAAGUAAAAUGCUGAGCUCUGUGCCUGACACUUAGUUGCUCUUAUUUCUAAUUUAAAUAAUGAUGAUGAUUUAAUUAUAUUUUAAAUGUGUAACUUUGAGUCUCAUAAUUUGUCAUUUAAUUAUGGUUAUUUAUGAAUGCGCUUUUCCUCCUUCACACACCACGAGCCUCACGAGGGAAGGGGUUGGAUCUUGUUUUUCAUCUGCAAAUACGAAGAGCAGAGUAGGUACUCAGUAAAUGUUGGGAAGGCUGAGCAUGUGUGAGAUCUCUGCGGUCCGAGAGUGCGAUAAUACUCUGAAAGUUUGGAAAGGCCACAGCUGGGACAGAGGCCUGACAAGGCACGGGGAAAGUCACAAGCGGAGGUGCGUGACAGGAACUUUGCCCUGGGGUGUUUCAGUGGGACCACGAGGCAUUCAGAUGAGGGAGUGUGGCUGGAUGCACUGGGGACCGCUGUGACCUCCCUUUCGAAGUCUGUACACGAUGAAGGCUGGACAGUCAUACAUUUCUGUUUCAUUUAAUUAUUCCUUCCGUUGAGUCACAUUUUUGGAGUAUUGACUUUAGACUUUUCGUGGGAGCAAAUCUCCAUUUUCUGUCUCUUCCAUCACUAGAAUGUGUGUAGCAUUCAGAUCACUCCUGCCUACUCCCAAGGACAUGACAGACAUGACUAAUGGAUAACAGCAUCUGGUUAUUUUACAGUCUGUCUCUGCAAGCAGCCAUUCCUGAUAGGAUGGAUUCCUCCUUGGGCUGACAGCUGCUCGCCAUCUUCGGCCUAGACCUUAGCUCACUGGGUAGGUCCAAGGCCUCCAUAAAUCUCAAAUACUUAUGAUUUCCCCCACAAAAUCCUACCAUGCCUCUAUUCUAUUAAAAAAAAAAAUUCCAGAAUCCAAAACAGUCUUGGAAAGAUAGAGUCUGGGCAGGGAUUAAUCCACUCUGCAUCAAAUUAAGUCCAAACUUUAGCCUCCCUCCCCCGCAAGACAAAUUUUAUACUUUGACACUUAAUUUUGUAUAAUUUGUCUUAGGAAGAACAUUCCCUAUCCAUCCUCCCUAACUGUCUCGGCUUCAGAUCCCAUUAAAUCUGGAUUUGCCCACCACAGAGGAGCCUUGUCCUGGGCCCACAGUGGCACAGAGCCUAAGGGGGUGGAUGGGGGAGGGGUCCUGCCUGUCUCCCAUCUCUCUUUUGUGACUCCUGCAGGAGCCCUGGUGGUCACUACCUGGAACCCACCAGACUACCUUUUCACUAGAGGGGAUGAGCAUAUCACUCAAUGGAUCCCUGAAAAACCCCUUGUCCACCUGUGCCCUGGUCUGUGUGUAAUCCUAGGGGCCAGGUCUGCUGGGGGACAGGCCAGGAGGUCCCCUAGUCUCUGCUCUGUCCAUUUUGCUGGUGACUGGUGAAUGAGGUGACCCCUCUUUUCAGUCUCUUUGCCUGAGACAUAUGGACUAAUUGGGGUAACCCCUUCUGAAAGCUGGUGAUCUUUACAUUAAAGAUGAAGCAAAGGGCCGGGAAUGUAGCUCAGAGGCACUGCAGCCUUUGAUUCCCAGUACAAAAAAAUGAAGAAGCAAAACCCCUCACUGUGGUCCCAGGCCCAAGCCAAAUCCCCUGUCCAUCAUGCAAGUCCCUUGUGAGGGACAGAAAAGCUGAGACUCUACUCUUUCUUUGAUACUCAAUGAUCUAUCCAAGGUUAUGACUUCGGUGGGCCAAGAGGGUGUGAUUUUUCCCUCGCACCCUUCUGAGCAAUUAGAAGAAAAGCCAGAGCCAUGUGAGUCAGUGUUUAAUGCUUAUCCUUUCUGGCUGUUACCUUCCCAGAGUAAGCAGGCUAAUCUUGGAUGGCAAAGUUGAGGGGCAUUAGGUAAAUACCUUGGCAGGAACAAAAGCAGCUGAGUGAAUAAGUGAGAGAGGUGCUGGCUCUGCCAGGCGGAUUCCAAGGUUCACAGGAAGAAAAGAAACCAGUACUGGAGCUUGACUGAAAAGCCCACAAACCUUACUGGGAUAAAGAUAUCACCAGCCCCUCACGCUCCAUGGAGCUGGGUGGUGGCUUUGUAGUGCUGUGGUUGUCAGUGGGGCUGUCUUUGGAGAGCCACAGACGUGGUGCUAUUUGCCGACACCCCUCAGGCUUGUCUUGAGCUUACAUUGUGGGACCAGCAUUGGAGUGUGUUAACCAGACUUCCCACGGCUCAGGGCAGGGGAGAUGAGUUCACACUGGGGUCUGUGGAUCGCCCAUCACAGGAGUGAUGGAAGACUUAGAUCAAAAGAUGAAUUAUGAUUCCACAGAGUGUCAUCAGAAUCCUGGCUUGCUGGGCCCUGACUUCAGAGCCUCUGACUCCUUAGGACUGGGGUGGGACUCUCGGUUCUGCUAUGACUCAGUUUCAUAAUCUCUUUUGAGCCCAGUGAGUUGUCCACACGAUGGGGUGAUAUCAUGGGCUUUGCCUGUCCCCAAGGUGUGGGUGAUUAAUGGAUAAGGACUUUCACCAGGCUCUUACCAGAGAUGGAGCUUCACUUACAUUAUUGCAUCAUUUUAAUUAAUCUUCGCAACCUCUUGGGAAGUGGGUCCUAUUAGUCUUAUUCUAAAGUCUUGGAACCUAGAGUUCUGGAAGCUGCGGUCCUGGGUAAGAGCACUUCCGGCUGACCCCAGCACCCCGGCUCUUUGCUGUCUGGUCCCUGACUCUCACUGUGAACACUGAGCCUGGUUACACAUUCUGGAGCUUUUAAGGUCUUUUAAGCGGUGAGCAGGAUUUAUUUAAUAUAAGGCUGCCCUGGUGGACAGAUCACCCUGCCACAGUGAGUAAACCUCAAUAAAUCAGGACUGGGCAAGAGAGGACAGUUCCAGAAGAAAACACAACGCAUCUGUGACUCAGUUACACUGUUCAAGAUGGGACACUCUGUCUAGAUGUAGGCAUUAAUUAGGAGGAGAAAGGACAGAGCACAUUGCUGGCUGUUGGGUGGGCCAAGGGCUCUGUUACAGGCUGCCUGGAGCCCAAGAAAACCUGGCACCAGGCCACAAACUCUGCAGCUGUUUCAUUAACAAGGUAAAAGUGGCCAAAAGGAGCAAAGGGCAGCUUUGAAGAGAGAAAAAAGUGCUCAUGCAAGGCAACCAGGAGAAG